UUGUUGGUGAAAGUCCGACCAAGGAGCUUUGGUAGCCAGGAUGCUUGCAUAUGGCGAAGUCUGUGUGUAAGAGCACAUAGACAAAAGUACCCGUCAGAGACAGUACGAGCAACAAUCCAGGCCGCAACAUGA
rnacentral:ncRNA from 1 species